rnacentral:rRNA from 1 species
UACGUAGGGUGCGAGCGUUAAUCGGAAUUACUGGGCGUAAAGCGUGCGCCGGCGGUUUUGUAAGCCGGAUGUGAAAUCCCCGGGCUUAACCUGGGAAUGGCAUUCGGGACUGCAAGGCUGGAGUGCGGCAGAGGAGACUGGAAUUCCUGGUGUAGCAGUGAAAUGCGUAGAUAUCAGGAGGAACACCGAUGGCGAAGGCAGGUCUCUGGGCUGACACUGACGCUCAUGCACGAAAGCGUGGGGAGCAAACAGG